GACGGGGGGGGCAAGUGUUCUUCGGAAUGACUGGGCGUAAAGGGCACGUAGGCGGUGAAUCGGGUUGAAAGUGAAAGUCGCCAAAAAGUGGCGGAAUGCUCUUGAGACCAAUUCACUUGAGUGAGACAGAGGAGAGUGGAAUUUCGUGUGUAGGGGUGAAAUCCGUAAAUAUACGAAGGAACGCCAAAAGCGAAGGCAGCUCGUCUGGGUCCCUACCGA
rnacentral:rRNA from 1 species